GACGAACGCUGGCGGCGUGCUUAACACAUGCAAGUCGAACGGAAAGGCCCUGCUUUUGUGGGGUGCUCGAGUGGCGAACGGGUGAGUAACACGUGAGUAACCUGCCCUUGACUUUGGGAUAACUUCAGGAAACUGGGGCUAAUACCGGAUAGGAGCUCCUGCUGCAUGGUGGGGGUUGGAAAGUUUCGGCGGUUGGGGAUGGACUCGCGGCUUAUCAGCUUGUUGGUGGGGUAGUGGCUUACCAAGGCUUUGACGGGUAGCCGGCCUGAGAGGGUGACCGGCCACAUUGGGACUGAGAUACGGCCCAGACUCGUACGGGAGGCAGCAGUGGGGAGUAUUGCACAAUGGGCGGAAGCCUGAGGCAGCAACGCCGCGUGCGGGAUGACGGCCUUCGGGUUGUAAACCGCUUUCGCCUGUGACGAAGCGUGAGUGACGGUAAUGGGUAAAGAAGCACCGGCUAACUACGUG
rnacentral:rRNA from 1 species